rnacentral:rRNA from 1 species
ACGGUGCUGAAGCAACAAAUGCCCUGCUUCCAGGAAAAGCCUCUAAGCCUCAGGUAACAUCAAAUCGUACCCCAAACCGACACAGGUGGUCAGGUAGAGAAUACCAAGGCGCUUGAGAGAACUCGGGUGAAGGAACUAGGCAAAAUGGUGCCGUAACUUCGGGAGAAGGCACGCUGACACGUAGGUGAAGUGGUUUACCCAUGGAGCUGAAGUCAGUCGAAGAUACCAGCUGGCUGCAACUGUUUAUUAAAAACACAGCACUGUGCAAACACGAAAGUGGACGUAUACGGUGUGACGCCUGCCCGGUGCCGGAAGGUUAAUUGAUGGGGUCAGCGCAAGCGAAGCUCCUGAUCGAAGCCCCGGUAAACGGCGGCCGUAACUAUAACGGUCCUAAGGUAGCGAAAUUCCUUGUCGGGUAAGUUCCGACCUGCACGAAUGGCGUAAUGAUGGCCAGGCUGUCUCCACCCGGGACUCAGUGAAAUUGAACUCGCUGUGAAGAUGCAGUGUACCCGCGGCAAGACGGAAAGACCCCGUGAACCUUUACUAUAGCUUGACACUGAACACUGGUCCUUGAUGUGCAGGAUAGGUGGGAGGCUUUGAAGUGUGGACGCCAGUCUGCACGGAGCCAUCCUUGAAAUACCACCCUUUAAUGGCUGGUGUUCUAACGUGGGCCCGUGACCGGGGUUGCGGACAGUGUCUGGUGGGUAGUUUGACUGGGGCGGUCUCCUCCUAAAGAGUAACGGAGGAGCACGAAGGUUGGCUAAUCCUGGUCGGACAUCAGGAGGUUAGUGCAAUGGCAUAAGCCAGCUUGACUGCGAGCGUGACGGCGCGAGCAGGUGCGAAAGCAGGUCAUAGUGAUCCGGUGGUUCUGAAUGGAAGGGCCAUCGCUCAACGGAUAAAAGGUACUCCGGGGAUAACAGGCUGAUACCGCCCAAGAGUUCAUAUCGACGGCGGUGUUUGGCACCUCGAUGUCGGCUCAUCACAUCCUGGGGCUGAAGUAGGUCCCAAGGGUAUGGCUGUUCGCCAUUUAAAGUGGUACGCGAGCUGGGUUUAGAACGUCGUGAGACAGUUCGGUCCCUAUCUGCCGUGGGCGCUGGAAGAUUGAGGGGGGCUGCUCCUAGUACGAGAGGACCGGAGUGGACGCAUCACUGGUGUUCGGGUUGUCAUGCCAAUGGCACUGCCCGGUAGCUACAUGCGGAAGAGAUAAGUGCUGAAAGCAUCUAAGCACGAAACUUGCCCCGAGAUGAAUCUUCCCUGAGCCUUUAAGGCUCCUGAAGGAACGUUGAAGACGACGACGUUGAUAGGCCGGGUGUGUAAGCGCAGCGAUGCGUUGAGCUAACCGGUACUAAUGAACCGUGAGGCUUAACC